GACGAACGCUGGCGGCGUGCCUAAUACAUGCAAGUAGAACGCUGAAGGAGGAGCUUGCUUCUCUGGAUUAGUUGCGAACGGGUGAGUAACGCGUAGGUAACCUGCCUUGUAGCGGUGGAUAACUAUUGGAAACGAUAGCUAAUACCGCAUAAUAGUAGAUGUCGCAUGACAUUUGCUUAAAAGGUGCAAUUGCAUCACUACCAGAUGGACCUGCGUUGUAUUAGCUAGUUGGUGAGGUAACGGCUCACCAAGGCAACGAUACAUAGCCGACCUGAGAGGGGGAUCGGCCAAACUGGGACUGAGACAAGGGCCAGAAUCCUACGGGAGGCAGCAGUAGGGAAUCUUCGGCAAUGGACGGAAGUCUGACCGAGCAACGCCGCGUGAGUGAAGAAGGUUUUCGGAUCGUAAAGCUCUGUUGUAAGAGAAGAACGAGUGUGAGAGUGGAAAGUUCACACUGUGACGGUAUCUUACCAGAAAGGGACGGCUAACUACGUG
rnacentral:rRNA from 1 species